UGCAAGUCGAGCGGGCCUUUCGGGGUCGGCGGCGGACGGGUGAGUAACGCGUGGGAACGUGCCCUCUGGUUCGGAAUAACUCAGGGAAACUUGAGCUAAUACCGGAUACGCCCUUUUGGGGAAAGGCUUGCUGCCGGAGGAUCGGCCCGCGUCUGAUUAGCUAGUUGGUGAGGUAACGGCUCACCAAGGCGACGAUCAGUAGCUGGUCUGAGAGGAUGAUCAGCCACACUGGGACUGAGACACGGCCCAGACUCCUACGGGAGGCAGCAGUGGGGAAUAUUGGACAAUGGGCGCAAGCCUGAUCCAGCCAUGCCGCGUGAGUGAUGAAGGCCUUAGGGUUGUAAAGCUCUUUUAUCCGGGACGAUAAUGACGGUACCGGAGGAAUAAGCCCCGGCUAACUUCGUGCCAGCAGCCGCGGUAAUACGAAGGGGGCUAGCGUUGCUCGGAAUCACUGGGCGUAAAGGGCGCGUAGGCGGCGUUUUAAGUCGGGGGUGAAAGCCUGUGGCUCAACCACAGAAUGGCCUUCGAUACUGGGACGCUUGAGUAUGGUAGAGGUUGGUGGAACUGCGAGUGUAGAGGUGAAAUUCGUAGAUAUUCGCAAGAACACCGGUGGCGAAGGCGGCCAACUG
rnacentral:rRNA from 1 species